rnacentral:rRNA from 1 species
UGGGGAAUAUUGGACAAUGGGCGCAAGCCUGAUCCAGCAAUACCGCGUGUGUGAAGAAGGCCUGAGGGUUGUAAAGCACUUUCAAUGGGGAGGAAUAGCGGUUAGUUAAUACCUGAUCGUGUGACAUUACCCAUACAAGAAGCACCGGCUAACUCCGUGCCAGCAGCCGCGGUAAUACGGAGGGUGCAAGCGUUAAUCGGAAUUACUGGGCGUAAAGCGUGCGUAGGUGGCUCGUUAAGUCAGAUGUGAAAGCCCCGGGCUUAACCUGGGAACGGCAUUUGAAACUGGCGAGCUAGAGUUGAGUAGAGGGGAGUGGAAUUUCAGGUGUAGCGGUGAAAUGCGUAGAGAUCUGAAGGAACACCAGUGGCGAAGGCGGCUCCCUGGACUCAAACUGACGCUGAGGUACGAAAGCGUGGGUAGCAAACAGGAUUAGAUACCCAAGUAGUCCCUGAGCGGGCUGGCAAGGCGCAU